GACGAACGCUGGCGGCGUGCUUAACACAUGCAAGUCACGGGGGGUAGCAAUACCAACCGGCGAACGGGUGCGUAACACGUGAGCAACCUGCCGAUCUGAGGGGGAUAGCCGGCCCAACGGCCGGGUAAUACCGCAUACGCUUCUUGAGGGACAUCCCUUGGGAAGGAAACCUCCGGGGCAGAUCGAGGGGCUCGCGGCCUAUCAGCUAGUUGGUGAGGUAACGGCUCACCAAGGCAUCGACGGGUAGCUGGUCUGAGAGGAUGGCCAGCCACAUUGGGACUGAGAGACGGCCCAGACUCCUACGGGAGGCAGCAGUGGGGAAUCUUGCGCAAUGGCCGAAAGGCUGACGCAGCGACGCCGCGUGUGGGAUGAAGCAUUUCGGUGUGUAAACCACUGUUGCCCGGGACGAACAUCCUCUUUCGAGAGGACUGACGGUACCGGGUGAGGAAGCACCGGCUAAC
rnacentral:rRNA from 1 species